CCGGACUCAGUCGACUCCGUCCAGCUUUCUCCCUACAAAACGUCCUCCGUGCACAAUGUCAACCGGGACAGAAGAAAGAAGGCCCCGGAAAGAAUAUUCACCAAGUCUUUCGAUUUCCCAAACUUUGACAGGGUGUCGUCGUCAUCCAGCUCACCCUCCGGCCCGGAGGAGCCGCGCGGGACAAGUGGCUCGCAUCCGCCGGAGACAAGAGUUACUUUCGCGACACGCGCCGACCUCUUCAUAUUUACGCCAGAGUUUGUCAAAUGGUUGUGUGCUGCUAUUUAGAAUCGUCCACGCGCGUGAAACAGAGCGAAGAUGGUCGGCCGCCUACAGCAGUCGCCGCGGGGGAAGAGCUCACGGCUGUGAGCGCUGCUGCUGUGCUUUGGCCUUCCUGGGUUGCAGCUGCAUAUCUUGCAGGAAUGCAUAUCGUUAUUGAUCCCGCCACUCGUUGAAUCCGUGGUGCCGUGGGUUAUGGCUUUGUUAGCUGU
ensembl:lncRNA